CUGCAGGUCCACUCAAGGUCAAGUUCUAUGCUAUGAGACUCCACGGAAACAGUUCCAUCUCCCCCGUGGAGUCUGAACUAGAUCCACUAAAAGGCCAGUUUCAAAGGCCAUCAGAGACCCAGAUGGUGCUUGAACAAAAAUAAAUGGUCAGCGGUAACUCAUCAACCUGGAUUCCCGAGGAAGAAGAGCGCCAGCAAGGCCACCAUCUCAGAACUGGCAAACUGCAAGACUGUCCUCUGGUCUAACCACCACCCCUCUUCCGCGUUCCUGCCACACGGGUGCACCCCUACCUACUGGGACAGGAAUCCCACUACGUUCUUUUCCUCUUACUAAAAGGAUAAACUUUAAACUCUUUUGCUU